UACGUAGGGUGCGAGCGUUAAUCGGAAUUACUGGGCGUAAAGUGUGCGCAGGCGGCUUCGCAAGUCGAGUGUGAAAUCCCCGAGCUUAACUUGGGAAUUGCGCUCGAAACUACGGAGCUGGAGUGUGGCAGAGGAAGGUGGAAUUCCACGUGUAGCGGUGAAAUGCGUAGAGAUGUGGAGGAACACCGAUGGCGAAGGCAGCCUUCUGGGCCAACACUGACGCUGAGGCGCGAAAGCUAGGGGAGCAAACAGG
rnacentral:rRNA from 1 species